ensembl:snoRNA small nucleolar RNA SNORA31
AGGCAUCCACUGAUAGACCUGAAGCGGAUUGCCUUGGCUUUUGGGUUUGCACUCGGAUGCAAGAUAAAAUUCUUUGUGCUUUCUGACUGUCAAGUGGCAGGAUGGAUUGACCUGAGGAAAACAUCC